rnacentral:ncRNA from 1 species
GUCCAUACCAGGGGGGGCCUCGACAAGAGGCUGAGAGGCUGAUCGCGGGAUUUCCGUAGCGCAGCGACCCUUUCGCCCCGGCAUGUGGGCGAAGAACCUGAUCCGGUUCGUACCGGCGUAGGGAUUGGUGUGAGCGGCCCGG